rnacentral:other from 1 species
ACAAUCCUAAUGUGUUCGUCUUACUCCUAAUACGUUUUGACCGAACACUUAUAUAAAAAGGGAGUCUGACGUUUCCAUGGUGCGUAAAUGCCUUUCGAGGACUUACAAAAUACGUGGAACAAGACACCCACCUGCCUUGAGCGGGUUCAAAACAAAAUGGAGAGACGGCACAAUUGGGAUUGUU